AGAAUGAUGGAAAUAUGUGAAUAAAUAUUACAUCCUUA
rnacentral:sRNA from 1 species